AGCGUACACGGUGGAUGCCCUGGCAGUCAGAGGCGAUGAAGGACGUGCUAAUCUGCGAUAAGCGUCGGUGAGGUGAUAUGAACCGUUAUAACCGGCGAUUUCCGAAUGGGGAAACCCAGUGUGUUUCGACACACUAUCAUUAACUGAAUCCAUAGGUUAAUGAGGCGAACCGGGGGAACUGAAACAUCUAAGUACCCCGAGGAAAAGAAAUCAACCGAGAUUCCCCCAGUAGCGGCGAGCGAACGGGGAGGAGCCCAGAGCCUGAAUCAGUGUGUGUGUUAGUGGAAGCGUCUGGAAAGGCGCGCGAUACAGGGUGACAGCCCCGUACACAAAAAUGCACAUAUUGUGAGCUCGAUGAGUAGGGCGGGACACGUGGUAUCCUGUCUGAAUAUGGGGGGACCAUCCUCCAAGGCUAAAUACUCCUGACUGACCGAUAGUGAACCAGUACCGUGAGGGAAAGGCGAAAAGAACCCCGGCGAGGGGAGUGAAAAAGAACCUGAAACCGUGUACGUACAAGCAGUGGGAGCCUCUUAAUGGGGUGACUGCGUACCUUUUGUAUAAUGGGUCAGCGACUUAUAUUCUGUAGCAAGGUUAACCGAAUAGGGGAGCCGAAGGGAAACCGAGUCUUAACUGGGCGUUAAGUUGCAGGGUAUAGACCCGAAACCCGGUGAUCUAGCCAUGGGCAGGUUGAAGGUUGGGUAACACUAACUGGAGGACCGAACCGACUAAUGUUGAAAAAUUAGCGGAUGACUUGUGGCUGGGGGUGAAAGGCCAAUCAAACCGGGAGAUAGCUGGUUCUCCCCGAAAGCUAUUUAGGUAGCGCCUCGUGAAUUCAUCUCCGGGGGUAGAGCACUGUUUCGGCAAGGGGGUCAUCCCGACUUACCAACCCGAUGCAAACUGCGAAUACCGGAGAAUGUUAUCACGGGAGACACACGGCGGGUGCUAACGUCCGUCGUGAAGAGGGAAACAACCCAGACCGCCAGCUAAGGUCCCAAAGUCAUGGUUAAGUGGGAAACGAUGUGGGAAGGCCCAGACAGCCAGGAUGUUGGCUUAGAAGCAGCCAUCAUUUAAAGAAAGCGUAAUAGCUCACUGGUCGAGUCGGCCUGCGCGGAAGAUGUAACGGGGCUAAACCAUGCACCGAAGCUGCGGCAGCGACACUAUGUGUUGUUGGGUAGGGGAGCGUUCUGUAAGCCUGUGAAGGUGGCCUGUGAGGGUUGCUGGAGGUAUCAGAAGUGCGAAUGCUGACAUAAGUAACGAUAAAGCGGGUGAAAAGCCCGCUCGCCGGAAGACCAAGGGUUCCUGUCCAACGUUAAUCGGGGCAGGGUGAGUCGACUCCUAAGGCGAGGCCGAAAGGCGUAGUCGAUGGGAAACAGGUUAAUAUUCCUGUACUUGGUGUUACUGCGAAGGGGGGACGGAGAAGGCUAUGUUGGCCGGGCGACGGUUGUCCCGGUUUAAGCGUGUAGGCUGGUUUUCCAGGCAAAUCCGGAAAACCAAGGCUGAGGCGUGAUGACGAGGCACUACGGUGCUGAAGCGACAAAUGCCCUGCUUCCAGGAAAAGCCUCUAAGCAUCAGGUAACAUCAAAUCGUACCCCAAACCGACACAGGUGGUCAGGUAGAGAAUACCAAGGCGCUUGAGAGAACUCGGGUGAAGGAACUAGGCAAAAUGGUGCCGUAACUUCGGGAGAAGGCACGCUGAUAUGUAGGUGAAGCGACUUGCUCGUGGAGCUGAAAUCAGUCGAAGAUACCAGCUGGCUGCAACUGUUUAUUAAAAACACAGCACUGUGCAAACACGAAAGUGGACGUAUACGGUGUGACGCCUGCCCGGUGCCGGAAGGUUAAUUGAUGGGGUUAGCGGUAACGCGAAGCUCUUGAUCGAAGCCCCGGUAAACGGCGGCCGUAACUAUAACGGUCCUAAGGUAGCGAAAUUCCUUGUCGGGUAAGUUCCGACCUGCACGAAUGGCGUAAUGAUGGCCAGGCUGUCUCCACCCGAGACUCAGUGAAAUUGAACUCGCUGUGAAGAUGCAGUGUACCCGCGGCAAGACGGAAAGACCCCGUGAACCUUUACUAUAGCUUGACACUGAACAUUGAGCCUUGAUGUGUAGGAUAGGUGGGAGGCUUUGAAGUGUGGACGCCAGUCUGCAUGGAGCCGGCCUUGAAAUACCACCCUUUAAUGUUUGAUGUUCUAACGUGGGCCCCUUACCGGGGUUGCGGACAGUGUCUGGUGGGUAGUUUGACUGGGGCGGUCUCCUCCUAAAGAGUAACGGAGGAGCACGAAGGUUGGCUAAUCCUGGUCGGACAUCAGGAGGUUAGUGCAAUGGCAUAAGCCAGCUUGACUGCGAGCGUGACGGCGCGAGCAGGUGCGAAAGCAGGUCAUAGUGAUCCGGUGGUUCUGAAUGGAAGGGCCAUCGCUCAACGGAUAAAAGGUACUCCGGGGAUAACAGGCUGAUACCGCCCAAGAGUUCAUAUCGACGGCGGUGUUUGGCACCUCGAUGUCGGCUCAUCACAUCCUGGGGCUGAAGUAGGUCCCAAGGGUAUGGCUGUUCGCCAUUUAAAGUGGUACGCGAGCUGGGUUUAGAACGUCGUGAGACAGUUCGGUCCCUAUCUGCCGUGGGCGCUGGAGAACUGAGGGGGGCUGCUCCUAGUACGAGAGGACCGGAGUGGACGCAUCACUGGUGUUCGGGUUGUCAUGCCAAUGGCACUGCCCGGUAGCUAAAUGCGGAAGAGAUAAGUGCUGAAAGCAUCUAAGCACGAAACUUGCCCCGAGAUGAGUUCU
rnacentral:rRNA from 1 species